UGCACAAUGGGCGCAAGCCUGAUGCAGCGACGCCGCGUGAGGGAUGACGGCCUUCGGGUUGUAAACCUCUUUCACCAGGGACGAAGCGUGAGUGACGGUACCUGGAGAAGAAGCACCGGCCAACUACGUGCCAGCAGCCGCGGUAAUACGUAGGGUGCGAGCGUUGUCCGGAAUUACUGGGCGUAAAGAGUUCGUAGGCGGUUUGUCGCGUCGUUCGUGAAAUCUUGGGGCUUAACUCCAAGCGUGCGGGCGAUACGGGCAGACUUGAGUACUACAGGGGAGACUGGAAUUCCUGGUGUAGCGGUGAAAUGCGCAGAUAUCAGGAGGAACACCGGUGGCGAAGGCGGGUCUCUGGGUAGUAACUGACGCUGAGGAACGAAAGCGUGGGUAGCGA
rnacentral:rRNA from 1 species